ACUCGUACAUGGUAAAGAUCCAGUUGAAACGCAAGUAUAAUAUCAAAAAAUUUGGUGGAAGUUUCUCGAAACGAUUGUAUGUUAGGAUUCGUAAUCAUGAAUUGUUCCGGAUUACAAUGUAACAUCAGGGGAAAUCCUUUAGAUGUUUCAAAGCUUACCUCGGCGAGAGCACAACUCGAAUCGCACGUUCACCUGAUAUCACGCAAGUCAGUCGAUAACUUAAUAUAUAAUCAGGAAAUAACCUGUUUGAAGGAUCUAACCUGGACGUCUAAACCUGUAGGAAAAUUGAUCGUAUACAAGGGACGAAACAAAAUGUCAAAAAUGUUAAAUCUCAGCUCAAAUAUCUUUUUCAAUUUUACUCCAAAGACUGAACGUUGAUCCCAAUACAUAAGACAAGUUCUAGUAAAUAUGGCGAAGAAUGUAGUCAAAGGAAUAUAAUCUUUCAAAGAAUCUAGUCCGGCAGAUGCUUCCUUGGAGCUACCCUGCGAGCAGAGGUUUUUUUUCUGACCCUCCGUGGAGCCUCUGCUCGCAGGGUACCUUGGAGCAUUCAUAAAAUUGCGAAGCUGAAUACGCAGCUGUAGUCCUGGCAUCGAUCCAUUGCUUCCAUUCAUCGGACCCUCGAUCAUUUGUGAGUACAGCAGAAUCCCUACCUUAAGAUUCGCAUGGGGCUCCAACAGAGAAGCAUCAAACACCUUGUGAUGAUCAAGAGUUUCGUACAGCAUAAAGUCCACGAAUGUGAUCUGGGAUAAAAUAAUGAUUCAAUGAUACUGAAACUUUAACGAUAUCAAAUAGUAUAUGAAGAUCUGUAGAUGGAGUUUGAAAGAGCAGAAGGAACGCUGAUUAUUAAUCUUCUCUAUGGUGUUAUGGACACCCUGAAUAAAUAUCAUCAUCAUUA